AAAAUCGGAAAAAGACCUAGAGAUUUGUUAAAUCCCAAGGCUAUAAAGUAUAUGCAAGCAGUUUUCUCCAUAAAAGAUGCAAUCAGCAAGAAGGAAUCUCGUGAGAUAAGUGCUCAAUUUGGCGUAACUGUCACGCAGGUUCGAGAUUUCUUUGCUAGCCAGCGUUCAAGAGUGAGGAAACUAGUCCAUUUAUCAAGAGAGAAAGCUGCUAGAACAAAUUCAUGUAAAGAGCCACAAGAUGGGGUCUCAGCGAGCUCUGAUCCUAUGAUUCCUAUUGAUCUGGCUCCAUUAAACUCUGUCCAUCCUGAUCCUGUUCC
rnacentral:misc_RNA from 1 species